UUAAUUGAAGCCAAAAUUUAGGCAUUUUAAUGUUAAUAAAAUUAUUGAAUAUUUUUUAUUCCAAUUAAA
rnacentral:tRNA from 1 species